AAGAGUUGUGCUCAUUCUGCACUUCGAAUGAGGUGACGAAAGUCGAGUCGAAUGUGUCACCCGAUUCCCGUAGUCGAAUGCGGUGAGAAGAGUCGAUGUGAGUGAACACCAAUGAACUCUCACCGCAUUCUCAUAGUCGAUUUUGAUCGACAAACGUCGCUUUCAAGUGACGUUUGCGGGUGAGAAGAGUCGUAACCUCCAGAGGUGUCGAGAGAGAUCGAGUGUUGUUGAAAACAAAUUGAAAUACAAGUUUUUUGAACAAGCGCCGGCUGCGGUACCAAAUCUGCAGCAUCAAGUAAUCAACGAGGACAACCUGGCGCAGGAGUACAACAAAUCGCAGUGGAACCUCCAGAAACGGGAUCUCGGUCGAUUGCCGGAUGGGAUCAAGUCUCCAAAUCAACAUGGUACAUCUGGCGUAUGUUCCAGGCGUGCAGUUCCAGAAGGUCCAAGAUUUCAAAUGGUUGGAUCGCUAUGAGAUAACGCAGAUCGAGGAUGACAACGGAUUACCCACAAAAGAGCCGGUAAAGAUUAGCUAACCAAAAAGGCCCAUAAGCUAAACAAUACGUCGUGAACUAUCUGAAAAUCAGCCAUCAACAAUCAAGCCUCAAACUGGAAAAUAGAUCGAUCCCGGCCGUUUCCCUACCAACGUCCUUCGGCACUCGACAGAACUUGCUAACGAAAAUAUCAAACGACACUUUGUGUAAUCGAUGAACUACGGUUACUGUUGAAGAGGCCACACCGGCCACACCGUUGAUCCACCAGAACCAGCGGCUAUGGCCGGUGGCCCACUUUCGCAACAACCACGCCAAGUUGGCCCAGGAUCUUCAGGAAUUGUUGUCAUCCUGCGAACUGGCAUCCGGCACAUUACCUACUGGCAGCAUGUUGCGCCGUGACGGCUGCGGACAACCUGUGUUCUGAGCAACGACCCGAGUAGCGAUUCGGUUGCCACCGAUGGGGUGCGUAUAAAACAGGCACCGGGCA